rnacentral:tRNA from 1 species
UGUAGCUCAGGGGUGGAGCACAUGCCUAAGCCUGCAUGAGGUCCUGGGUUCGAGUCCCAGUA